AGAAUAAGCCAUCGGGGAGGGAGGCUGUGACGUGAGAGGGAUGAGAGGAAGACUAUUUUAGGAAUUUAUCGCCUUGGAACGCCUGGAAUCAUGGAACUGGCGGUGGGAACAGGAAUGGGAAUGUCGAAAGGUCCUGACCCCGGUAUCUGGAGGUGUGGUGAAGGAGGGUCACCACAGGCAGGUCAAGUGAGCUCGCCUUCUGUCUUGUGAGGAUGAAAUGAUUGAUAUCUCCGGGUAGUCUCCAGUGAGCCAGCAGCAUCCUCUGUCACAAGUCUUCCUGCACAUUCAGAUGUCCCCUGUCACCCCUGUCGUCUGCAAGAUCAGAACCCAAAGUGAGCGUUGGCUGACGCACAUCAGGCACCACACCACCAACAGCCAGUCAGUAGCGUCCUCACCUGCCUUGCUAGGGGUGGAGUUCUUGCUGUGGGGAGUGCAGCGGAGGUGAAUGGACUAGACUAUCCUGUGCUGUAUGUGAAGGUUUGAAACUAGAUGCUUAAGUACCUAUUAUAUAAAAUGCAGUUACUGUAAACUUAACAAAUUUUUUACUGUAGGGCAGAUAAGUGAAUAAAUCAAAGCAAUAACAGUAGCAAAACUUUGUCUAAAUCAUUAAAACCUUCUUAAGCAUAUA